rnacentral:misc_RNA from 1 species
CCAAUAGCGUAUAUUAAAGUUGUUGCAGUUAAAAAGCUCGUAGUUGAAUUUCGGAGUUUAUCGGUUGGUCGGGCUUCAUUGUCCGCACUGGCCUGAUGGAUUCCUACCUUCUGAAUAACCAGCAUGCUAUUAAUUUAGUGCGUUGGGGAAGCAGAGCUAUUACCUUGAAAAAAUUAGAGUGCUUAAAGCAGGCUUAUGCUUGAAUAGAUUAGCAUGGAAUAAUAAAAUAGGACGGCUUGGUUCUAUUUUGUUGGUUUCUAGGAUCACCGUAAUGAUUAAUAGGGAUAGUUGGGGGCAUUAGUAUUCAAUUGUCAGAGGUGAAAUUCUUGGAUUUAUUGAAGACUAACUUCUGCGAAAGCAUUUGCCAAGGAUGUUUUCAUUAAUCAAGAACGAAAGUUAGGGGAUCGAAGACGAUCAGAUACCGUCGUAGUCUUAACCAUAAACUAUGCCGACUAGGGAUCGGACGAUGUUAAUUUUUUAAUGACUCGUUCGGCGCCUUACG